GAUGAACGCUGGCGGCGUGCCUAAUACAUGCAAGUCGAGCGAAUGGAUUAAGAGCUUGCUCUUAUGAAGUUAGCGGCGGACGGGUGAGUAACACGUGAGUAACCUGCCCAUAAGACUGGGAUAACUCCGGGAAACCGGGGCUAAUACCGGAUAACAUUUUGAACCGCAUGGUUCGAAAUUGAAAGGCGGCUUCGGCUGUCACUUAUGGAUGGACCCGCGUCGCAUUAGCUAGUUGGUGAGGUAACGGCUCACCAAGGCAACGAUGCGUAGCCGACCUGAGAGGGUGAUCGGCCACACUGGGACUGAGACACGGCCCAGACUCCUACGGGAGGCAGCAGUAGGGAAUCUUCCGCAAUGGACGAAAGUCUGACGGAGCAACGCUGCGUGAGUGAUGAAGGCUUUCGGGUCGUAAAACUCUGUUGUUAGGGAAGAACAAGUGCUAGUUGAAUAAGCUGGCACCUUGACGGUACCUAACCAGAAAGCCACGGCUAACUACGUGCCAGCCGCCGCCGUAA
rnacentral:rRNA from 1 species